GGGCUUAUAAGCUUGCUGCUAACAAACGCUUACUGUCACGUCUUUGGUUAUUUUGUGAAUAGUGAAAAUAAGCGGGAAAAAUCGUGUUUUCAUACAACAUCCCAAAUGACGCACUUACCAACGCAUUAAUGUCGCAUUUAGGGAUCUCUGCGGUCGCUGGAGUGCCGUAAUCAGCAGAGAUUGUUUAACUGAAGCAAAUAUGGGACUGAGCUGCUGCAAAGUCGCUGCCUCUUGCCCUGGAUGCAGAGUGAGCUGUGGAGAUGACUGCCUGUGCGAAUGCCACAAGCACGAGCCCUGUCUGGAUCGAUCUUGUAACCUGUGCUGUCAGUUCUGUCUGGACAGCUGCUGUGCGAUAUUUUCGGACGACUGUAGCUACACUGUGUGUUUCCUGUGCACACGGAUGGCACAUGCCUGCGUCUCAGUCUUGAACACAGAGCAGCCCACGUCUACACGGAGAUGAGAAGGUUUUCGUUUGAAAGGAAUACAGCUGGAUUGUGGCACUCUGAGUUUACAUCUGAAGACUUUAAUGGGAACUAAAAGGCGAACCGGGUACCAGGUUUAACCAAAGUUGGAGAAAGCAUUUUCUGGAUACCAAGAGAAUGGGGAAACGUCAUGAAAAUGAUUUUUUUACAGAUGUACUAUCACUGUUAACACAGGCCAGGAUGCACUGUGUAUAGAUUGUGCUUGCAAUUGUAUCAUACAAGUGAUUCUAUAUAGACGCUUUUAUCUGACACACACGUUAUGAUGAUAAUGGGAGGUUUCCCUGCUGGAAAAACCAGCAUAUGAUGUGUUUUGGUGCUGGUUUGCUAGUGAACACUAGCUAAACCAGCACCAAACCAGCACCAGCUAAACCAGCAACAAAACAGCAAUAGCACCAGAAUCCAUUGCUGGUCAUACCAGCAAGACCAGCAUAUGUUGUGUUUUGGUGCUGGUAUGCUGGUGACCACCAGCUUAACCAGCAUAUGCUGCGUUCCAGAGCACAUCCAAACCAGUGGGAUGUAGGACUUAUCCUACCUCCAACUAGGAAAAGUGCACUGGAAUGCCUGUCGAAGUGGAACCUCCUACCGGCGAACUCGGGGGAGUUCGACCUACCCCGACUUCAGCAAAAUAAGUCGAAGGACAAUGGCGGCACCCAUAGAGUCUCGUGUCGUGAGAGGAAAACUUCAAGGAAUAGACUAUAAAUUGUACUUCUCUGCUUGUAAGGUUGUUUUAGACACUGUAAUUUUAACACAACUUGUUUUUUUAUAUUAUGGCGUGAAAUGAUGUCGUUAUUAUCUGUUAGCAUGAAGAUACGGUAAAAGUAUACCAAGUUACUUAAGCGACAUGCAGCGCUUUUAUAUAAUGGCUUCAGAACACUUUGUAAAGAUGUUAAACUUGAUGUUUUAGUGUAGUGUGAACUGCACAGUUCGGACUGACGUUUAAAAGUCAUGUAGUCUGUACGAGCCUUAAGAAGACCGGUACGUCGUCCAUGUUUUCUGUUUACGUUCCACUUAAAAUGCAUGGAACGCUUUGAAGUAGGAGCUAGGACACUUCAGGAAGGAUAAGUCCCACGUCCCACUGGUUUGGAUGGGCUCUGGAACGCAGCAAAAGACCAGUAUAAUUCCUAUGCUGGUCUGAUUUUUUCAGCAGGGUUGACAGCCGAUAUGUAGUUAACAUUAUAGACGUUCAUUUUAUACAGUAAUGUUAACUUGGUGUAGUUUUUGGUAAGCUUUAGCUGUGAUUUUAACUAAGGUAAUUGUUGUUUAUUUUGCUUGUUAUCAGAAAUAAACUCUACUUUACUGUUAUUGAUUCUUUGCAGAGUUUACCGGAAGUUACAUUUGUUACACAAAAGCUGUAUGUUUAGAUCUACUUUCCUGCAGAGUUCACGUCCAACCCUAAUCAAACACACCUGAACCUGCUAAUCAAGCUGUUUAUGGCUAUACCCAAAAAUAAGAGGCAGGUGCUGAAGCAGGGUUGGAUGUAAAGUAGGCAGGAGGAUCAAUCUAAAUGUUCAAAUGACUGCACAUUUUCUCAGAGGACAAGCAGGAAAAACUUGACUCACACACCCUGUGAAACCUGCCGUCAGAGGUAGAGUAUUUAUAUUUCAGAGUCCGCCCAGGCGUGUGUCAUAUCAGCCCUGACGAUCUCAUGACAAGGAUAUACGUUUGGAAGUUAAACUAACUAUGGUUUUUACAAGAUGAAAAGAAGCUCCCAGCUUAAAAAGAGAGAACCGUGAAGGACUGAAGAAAAGACGAUUGAAGAGAAAAACAGGAGUCUUGCACUCGGAGGGCACUUGGAAAAGAUAAGGUCUGAUCUGGUAGACUGAGCCAUGGAGGAUUACAGAAAAGAGCCACCGCCGGACUAUUCUGAGGUUGUUACGCAGCAACACACCAGCAAUACCAACCAGAGCUCCUCUGCUGAUAAGACGCAGGGAGGAGGCUGCAAGAGAUGCUGCAUGAGUACCAAGAGAUGUCUGAUGAGUCCUGAGUGCGGCCGGUGUCUUAGCAUCGCCAACGUUAUUGCCAUGUGCGGCAUGUGUAUCCGAAUGUUUGUGUAGCUCCUGCAGAUCUCUCAUCCAGUGGUGUCCUACUCAAAUUAAGACAUUUGCUCUUUUCCAAAACCUGUAAUAUUUAUAAACCUGGAAUACAAGUCCAUGUCAUACAACAUUACACAUAUCAAUGUAUCCAUGUGUUUCUUCACAGAUAAGGUAAUCACAAAAUCAGAUUCAUUUAAAAUGGCAAAUGACAUAGAAAUAUGAAGACUGCAAACAAAGAUGCAGUGAAGCAGCUACUGCUAUAGGUUUUUUUGGACAGAACUAGUAUCAUGUCCUUAGUCAGUGCAAUAGAAAUUAAUUUCCCUUAAUCUCUUAAUUAAGCUUCAUGAAGAAACAGUGUUUUAUAUGAAAAUUAUGAUGAAUUUAGUUAUUUUAAAUCUACUUUAAAUCAAAUUUGGUUCAGAAAUGGUCCCAAGUUGUCACUAGGGCAGUACCCUAUAGAUAUAGAUACAUGGGUACAAAUAUGUAUGUAUUUGGUACUUAAAUGAAGUUUUUUUUUUUAGGUGCAAAUGUGUACUUUUGGAAAGGUAGCACCUCAGUGACAGCUAGGGACUAUUUGGACCAUUUUUAUCUGACAAUGUAGAUGGAGUCACUUGUAAAUGCUUGCAACAUUAACCAUUGUAUACUAGUGGGAUGUAUUGUAGCAUCUACUUUCGCAAUUCAUAUCCACCUUGUAUCAUACCUUUGUUCUUAAUUUCCUCCUCUUGUUGCAAAUUGCAAAAUGUUUGUUAUAUAGAUGUAAAAUUAAUAAAGAUCUGAUAGUGAA